UCCACCACUCUCCAAUACCUUUUAGGCUAUAUUAAACAUAGUAGAUUUUGUUUACUAUAUCUCCUUCUCCAUGUUUCUUUGUGUAUAUAUGUGGUUAUGUAUGCAUGCGUGUGCUCUUUGUAUUUAGGAAGAGUUGUAUAGCUAGUGUUCUACAUCGCACUAAAAUUUUUUGAUGUCUUAGUCCCUUAUUAACUUGUCAAAUUUCUAAUAUUUGGUUUAUAAGUUUUAAAUGACAUCUUUUAACUGCAAAGUUUUACGACUAUGACAAUCAAAGGCAUUUAUUCUUUUUCUUUUUCUUCCUUAUGUAACUGCCAUUUCGCAUAGUAUUAUUUCAACCUGGUCAAACAUAUACCAUUUACAUACUAUUUUUUUCCAAUUUGUCUCUCCCCAGGUGUUUGUUUUAGAUCUACAAUUAUAUAUUCAAUGAUGACCAGCUGUUCAAAAGUCCAAAUUUCCUCAGUCCUCUCUCGUUGGGUGGAGUUCAUCCUUAAAAGACUCCUCAAGAUGGAAGCAGGACUCCUUGACACAGGGACAGCUUGGUGACUAUAAAGUACUUGCCCACAAUGACUUUUAUUGAGUUUUUAUAAAAUAUUGUCCUGCUUUAUAUGUUCUGUUGAGUUGUAGAAGGUAAAUUAAUUUUCUCCCCAUUGUAUGCAAAUAGGCUUCUUUGAGGCAAGAGGGAGGUCUGGAACUUCAGAGGAACCUUUUUUCUUUUUCUUUAAAAUCUAUCAGUUCUAAGAGGAUAGGCUUAGAGUUGACCAUUCCAGUUAUAUUUCUCCCCGGGAUCUAGACUUUCUCUCUGAUCCUUUCUCAGCAUCUUUUCUUCAUUUUUGUUCUUUUUGAUGCUUUCAUUUCUUUAUUCAAUAUCCCUUAUAGUAUUUUUAGACAAAUAUGUUGCCCUUAUGAACAUUGUCAUUUAGCCUCUUUUUCAGAGAGUUUUCUUUUUCUUCAAUUUUUUUCCUAAUUUCUGCCAAUUCUCUCACUUUCUGUUUCCUGUCCACUUCUCUUUUGAACUGUGUAUUUCUUACACUAAGUUUUGUUUUCGUCACAUCUACAAAUGCUUUGUUAAGAACAUUUACUUCAGAUAGGGAUGUCAUUUUACAGUUUUCCCAUGUUUUGUGAUUGAUUUUGAGGGGUGUCGUUUCAUGAGCUGAAAUCUUUGACUCUCUAUUUCUGUUGUUCUCUUUUGUCACCUUGGAAUACAUGUCUGCUAGGAGAUUUCAUGUCAGUAUGCCUAGGUUUACCUGAAUGAGAAAUAAAAGUUUUAUGUGGGAAUGGAUAAGUGCUUUGAGUAGCUUAGUGGAUUUCUAGGUCUGGAUCUCUCUCUUUGACGCAAUUACUAUAAUAGAUGUAAGGUUUGGGGGAUACGUGUGGUGUGUCUUCUGAUUCUGGGAUUCCAUUUUCUUUCAGCAGGACCUUUAAUUUCUAGCUGUUGCUUCAUUCUUGCUCUUCAAUAGUAGCCUUCAAAGGAAGCUACCUUCAUCAGGGUCUCCCCCUGGCCUGGCAGAUGUGCUUCCCCAAGAUUGUCACCUCUGGUCCUCUCACUGUCGAACCCCUUCCUUUCUGUUCCCAAGCAUCCAGAGCUGUAGUCACCCAGGUCUCUGGCCUGCUCUGAGUUCAUCACACUCUCUUUCUAUGGAGAAUUUAUCUCUGUUCCCUCCUGAGCAGACCCUCCCUGCUGUCAGCUCCUCUGUUUGCAUGGACUUUACUGAUCCAUCCACUGCUGGACAUAAGCUUUCAACUCUGGGGAAACCAAAGAGCAUGAGUGAUCCUUGGAUCCUAUAGUAAGAGUUUGCUUAGUUUUGUAAGAAACAAUCAAACUCCCAAAUCCCCAAAUCCCAAAUAACUGUCUCGUUUUGCAUUCUCACCAGCACAGACUGAGAGUUCUUAUUGCUCCAUAUCUUUAUCAAUUUUUGGUGUUUAUUAUCAGUUUUUGGAUUUUAGCCAUUCUUAUAGAUGUGUAGUGAUAUCUUCUUUAGUUUGCUAUUCCAUCAUAAUGGCAUAUGAUGUUGAGUAUCCUUUUGCAUGUUUUACAUCUGUCUAUCUUCCUUGGUAAGGUGUCUAUUCAGAUCUUUUGACCAUUUUCAAAUUGGAUUGUCUGUUUUCUUGUUGAGUUUUAAGAGUUUUUAUCUUCGGGUAACAGUCCUUUAUCAGAAACAUCUUUUGCAACUAUUUUCUCUCAGCCUGUGUGUUAUUAUUUCAUUCUCUGAAAAAUAUUUUUCUCAGAAGUUUUUAAUUUUAAUGAGUCCUGCUUAUCAAAGUUUUCUGUUAUGGAUUAUAUUUUGCAUGUUAUAUCAAAAAAAUCGUCACCAUACCCAAGAUCAUCUAGAUUUUCUCCUGUGUUAUGUUCUAGAAGCUUUUAUACUUUUGUAUUUUACAUUUGAGUCUAUGAUGCAUUUUGAGUUAAUUUUGUGAAAGGUUUAAGAUCUACUUUCUAAAUUUAUUCCUUUGCAUGCGGAUGUCUAGUUGUUUCCAGCCCCAUUUGUUGAAAGGAAGGUCCUUUCACCAUUAAAUUGCCUUUGUUCUUUUGUCAAGGUUAGUUGACUGUAGUGUGAGUCUAUUUCUGGGCUCUUUAUUCUGUUCCAUUGAUCUAUUUGAAUAUCCUUUCACCAGCACCACACUGUUUUGAUUACUGAAGCUUUAUAGUAAGUUUUGAAGUCAGGUAGCACCAGUCCUUUGACUUUGUUCUUCUACAUCAAUAUUGUGUUCACUCUUCUGGUUGAUUUAUCUCUCCAUGCAAACUUUAGAAUCAGGUUGUUGAUACUCACAAAAUAACUUGCUAAGAUUUUGGUUGAGAUUGUAUUGAACCUAUAGAUAAGUGGAGAAGAGCUGCCAUAUUGACAAUAUUUAGUUUGCUCUUUUUUUUAUGGUUUCCGAAGAAGGAAGCAUAGGUGAUGGAUUUUAGAUCUUUCUCCUUUCCAAUACAUGGAUUCAGUGCUAUAAAUUUCCCUCUAAGCACUGUUUGCUGCAUCCCACAAAUUUUGAUAAGUUGUAUUUUCAUUUUUAUUUAGUUAAAAAUAUUUUAAAAUUUCCCUUUAGACUUCUUUGAUUCAUAUGUUGUUUAGAAGUAUUUUUAAUCUCCCAAUAUUUUGGAAUUUCCAACUAUCUGUCUGUUAUUAAUUUCUAGUUUAAUUCCAUUGUGGUCUUAGAACAUCCAUUGUAUAAUUCCCAUUCUUUUACAUAUCUUAAAGUGUGUUUUAUGGCCCAGAAUAUGGUCUACCUUGGUGAAUGUUCCAUGUGAGCUUGAGGAGAAUGUGUAUUCUGCUGUUGUUAAACGAAGUACUCUACAGAUGUCAGUUAUAUCAAAUUGAUUGAUUGUGUUAUUUAAUUCAAUUAUGUCCUUAUUUAUUUUCUUCCUGCUGAAUAUGUCAAUUACUGAUAGAUGGGUGUUGAAGACUCCACCGGUAACAGUGGAUUCAUCUAUUUCUUCUUGUAGUUCUAUCAAUCUUCGCUUCAUGCAUUUUGACACUCUGCUCUUAGAAGCAUACUUGUUAAGACUUGUUAUGUCUUUUUUGGAGAAUUGUCCCCUUUAUCAUUAUGUAAUGCCUCUCUUUAUCUCUUAUAAUUUUCUUUGUUCUGAAUUUAUUUUGUGUGAAAUUAAUACAGCAAAUCCAGCUUUCUUUUGAUUAAUAUGAGCACGAUAUAUCAUUCUUCAUCCCUUUACUUUUGGUCUGUGUCUUUAUAUUAAAAGCAAGUUUCUGGUAGACAACGUAUCUUAUUUUUUAGUCACUCUGAGAAUCUCUAUUUUUUAAUUCAUAUAUUUAACCAUUGACAUUUAAAGUGAUUGUUGAUAUUUUGGAUUAAUAUCUACCAUAUUUGUUACUGUUUCUAUUCAUUACCCUUUCUUUUAUUAUUUUUUGUCUUCCAUUCUUUUGUUUUUUUCUGAUUUUUAGUUGAACAUUUUAUACGAUUCCAGUUUUUCCCUCUCUUAGUAUAUCAUUUAUACCUUUUUGAAACUCGUUUUAGCAAUUGUCCUUGAGUUUGCAAUAUAAAUUUGCAAUUAAAUCCGAGUCUUCUUUCAAUAACACUAUAACCUUUCACAGGUAGUGCAAGUACCUUAUAUCAGUGUAUUCCUAAUUACUUUCUUCUGUCCCUGGCAGCAUUGCUGUCAUUCAUUGCACUUAUCCAUAAGCUAUAAUCACUGAUUAAUACAUUGCUGCUAUUAGUAUUUGAGCAAAUUGUUGCAUAGUAAAUCAUCUAAGAAUGAGAAAAAUUAAAGAUUUAAUUUUGUCUUCAUUUAUUCCUUCUCUCAUGUACUUCCUUUCCUUUCGUAGACUUGAGUCUCUGACUUUUAUAUUUUUCUUCUUCCUGAAGUAUCUCUUUUAACAUUUCUUGCAAGGCAGGUCUACUGGUAACAAAUUCCUCAUUUUUUGCUUCUCUGAGAAAGUCUUUGUUUCUCUUUCCCAUCGGAAAAAUAAUUUUGCUGAAUACAGAAUUCUAGGUUGGUAUUGCUUUAUCUUCUUCUUCUUUUUUAAACACUUUAAAUAUUUCAUUCUCUUCUUGCUUGCAUGGUUUCUGAACUGAAGUCUGAUGUAAUUCUUAUCCUUGCUUCUCUACAAGCCUGACACCAGUCACCACGUUUCCCACUCAUCCUCCAGAUGAGUGAAUUGAAGGCCAAGGAGGCAACAUGACCUGCCAACGAUGCACAGCUCAUUGGUGACUAAGACAGGACUGGAA
ensembl:lncRNA